rnacentral:rRNA from 1 species
AUUGAACGCUGGCGGCAGGCCUAACACAUGCAAGUCGAGCGGAUGAAGGGAGCUUGCUCCUGGAUUCAGCGGCGGACGGGUGAGUAAUGCCUAGGAAUCUGCCUGGUAGUGGGGGAUAACGUCCGGAAACGGGCGCUAAUACCGCAUACGUCCUGAGGGAGAAAGUGGGGGAUCUUCGGACCUCACGCUAUCAGAUGAGCCUAGGUCGGAUUAGCUAGUUGGUGGGGUAAAGGCCUACCAAGGCGACGAUCCGUAACUGGUCUGAGAGGAUGAUCAGUCACACUGGAACUGAGACACGGUCCAGACCCCACGGGGGGGCAGCAGGGGGGAAUUUUGGAAAAUGGGCGAAAGCCUGACCCAGCCAUGCCGGGGGGGGGAAGAAGGUUUUCGGAUGGUAAAGCACUUUAAGGUGGGAGGAAGGGCAGUAAGUUAAUACCUGGCUGUUUUGACGUUACCAACAAAAAAAGCACCGGCUAACUUCGG